AGCUAAAUAGGUUAAUUUGACUGUUUGUUUUCAAAACAGAAGGUGGUUCAGUGUAAGGAUCUUUAGUUG
rnacentral:tRNA from 1 species